UCCCCAGUGGCGCAAUUGGUUAGCGCUCGGUAUAUAGAAUGCCGGGUUGUGAGUUCACGUCCUCACCUGGGGAA